rfam:Stegodyphus mimosarum contig80228, whole genome shotgun sequence.
GCCUUCGUGGUGUAGUGGUCAGCAUGCUUGACGCACAUUCGAGAGGUCCGUGGUUCGAGUCCCGGCGAGGGUA